GAUUGAGUGCUCAUCAUACUGACAGCCGUCGCUCAGAUCCAAGCACACCUAAAAAGCAAACUUCCCUGAGAGAUAGAGAAGGGAUUUGAUAUCUGUGUUGCUUAGAGCUACUACAACGGAGAAAGGGACGAAUUCACAGGCAUCAACCGUAGCUUCGUAUGAGGUUUUUUGAAGUUUUCGAGGAGUAAACACCCGUUAUGAAUUCACCGAUUAUCUUACCAUGGCAUGGUUUUUCUUGACCGUGGAACCUGCCGAUGUCAAGCUCAAAACAAACUUGUACAGACAGACUCUUUCAAAGCACUAGAAGACGUCGUGCACUGAAGUGGAGUCAUUGGAAUAGGCUCUCAUUGAGGUGGGCAAGAGAAAUGGAUGGAACUGGAAGAAAGAGGAGGGUUAAGGAGAUUUGAUCCAUUCAAUAAUUCGCAUGGUAUCGGUUAAGUAAAGGUUGUAUAUGAAGAUUUGACCGAACAUCUUGUCGGAGUUGAUGAUUGUGUGGGAGCUAUAAUCAAAACGUUGGAUGUGGGAUCCGAUGAUGUACCAUUUCUCAUAAUCCACGGAAUGGGUGGUGUUGGCAAAACAACCCUUGCUAAGGUCAUCUUCUACAAACUAUCUUCUUGCUUUGACCAAUGUUGUUUCCUUGUAGAUGUUCAGGAAUCAUCAAAAAGCAAUGAUGGUCCGGUAAAUUUGCAAAAACAGUUGUUAUCCAAGCUCCUUGGUUCUCAUUCUAUUAACCAAAUUUGUCAUGUGAAUGAUGGGAUCAAAAUGAUUAACAGAGGAAUACUUAGAAAUAAAAAAAAAAAAUACUCAUUAUUCUUGAUGAUAUGGAUAAACAAGAGCAAUUGAAAAGUCUUGCAAAAGAAUGUGAUUGAUUCAGUUCAGUAGCAGGAUUAUCAUAGCUAUGAAGGACAACAAUGUCCUAUAUGAAGGCCCAAAUGUUUUGACUUAUGAAGCACAUGAAAUGGAAUUUGAUCAUGCUCUUAAUCAUUUCAGCAAGCAUGCAUUUAGAAGAGACUAUCCACCAAAUCAUCAUGUCUCCCUUUCUAAAAAAAUUGUCCAUACUUUGGGCAAGCUUCCUUUAGCUCUUAAGAUUACGUGUUCAUUCCUUAUUGGUAAGUCCGACGAAUUAUGGAUCGAUACAUGGGAGAAACUAAAAGAAGCUCCUCCUAUGGAAGUCCAAAGAAACUUGAUGAUAUCUUAUGAAAGGUUAGAUCCAACAUAAAGGGAAAUAUUUCUAGAUAUAGAUUUUAUUUUAUUUUUUGUUAAUGAGGAUAGAAUAUACCCUUUCUAUAUGUGGGAUGCCUAUAAGUACCACCCACACAUUGCCAUUGAUGUCCUCGUUCUCAUGUCCUCGAUAAAAAUCAAAGAUGGCAAUACUUUCUAGAUGCAUAACCAAGUACAGGACUUCGGAAGGGAAAUCGUCCAUCAAGAGAAUUUCAAAUAUCCCGAUAAGCGUAGCAGAGUGUGGAACUAUGAGGAAGCGCUUAACAUUUUGAAGAGGAAAAAGGUAUAAAAAGGGAACAACAAUUUAUUUUCCUGCAAAUUGUUGUUGAGUAUUCUUGCAAAAGGAUAAAUUAACCACUAUUCUUGCUUGAAAUUGUUUGCUUCUGAACUUCACACGUGGACUUCUCAGUGUCAUUGUCAGGAAGUAGGAAAAUGGAAGCACUAUCAGGUACGACCUAGAUAUCAUUUCAUUUAUCAAGAUACUCUCACAUCUGAUGAAUUUGCUGAUUUACCAAAACCUGAGGUUCUUAUGAGGGGAAGUUGGGUCCCUUGUUGGAGAGUUCAAGAAUCUUCUCUCCAAUUUAAAAUGGCUUUCUUGGCAUUGUAGCUAUUCCAAGUUUGAGACAACAAACUUUCAUUUGGCUAAUUUAGUGGUUCUUAACCUUUCACACAGCUGUAAUUUGGAGAAAUGGAUUGGCUAGGACCAAAUCAAAGAGGCCAGAAACAUAAAAGUACUAGAUCUUAGAAUCUGUGAAUACUUAAAGAGAACACCUAAUUUAUCUACGUGGGUGUAUUGGAGAGAUUGGUUCUUGAAGGCUGCAUCAACUUAAUUGAAAUUGACCAUUCCAUUGUCAAAUUAAAGCUUCUAACUAUUUUGAACUUGAAUGGAUAUAAAUUUCUUUGAGAGUUGCCUGAAGAAAUAGGAUGUCUAUAGGCUUUGACAGAUUUUGUUAUGUCUCCCCAAAAGAAGAAUAUCAACGGUUAAUGAUAAGCAAACAAUCAUCCUUAAAAUUGCCAUACUCAAUUGGAGGGCUAGUGAAACUCAAGCGGUUAAAUUUAUCUAGGUGUAUAUACAUAGAGGAACUUCCAAAUUCGAUUGGGAAUUACAAUCAUUAAUCGAGUCGGAUUUGUCAUCGACAAGUACUGGUCACCUACAUGAUUCAAUUGGCAAUUUCAAGCAACUGAAAGUACUAAGGAUGAGUGGCAUAAGAUGGAUGAGAAAAUUACCAAGUGUGGUUGGGUUAGUGGAGAAGUCGAAGAGUUAGAUGCUUAAGAAUGUUGCAACUUGACCGGCAAUCUAACAAAAUUGGGAGAUUGUCCUAUUUAAGGAUCAUCAACUUGUUAGGCACACGUAUGUCCAGAUUACCCACCACGGUGAGUCACCUCUCUAAUCUCCAAACACUUAAAAGCUAAAAAAAUGUCCCGAGCUUAAACAGUUGCCGGAACUACCCCAAGUUUGACUCAUCAGAGAUGGGGCCCAAAAAAUUGCUGUUAUUCCUCCGAAGAGGAGAUGAAAUAUGAGCUGGAGGAAUUUUUCCAGGAGAGACGAAUUGGUACCCUAUCUCAAGAUGAAACCCUUGUCGCCGCUCUUCUCACUAGCAUCGGCAUCUUAUCUCAGUUUAAAACACUAAAAUUGUGCUGCAAAAAUAUGCAAUUCCUCCCCCAACUUCCGUCUAGUUUAAGAGAGUUACAACUUCGUGAUCUGGUCGCCACGCAAUAACCGGAUUUUUCCAAUUUGAAAAACUGAUCAAUAUUGACAUUCUAUGAAUAUUCGCUAGAAUUCUCUAGUAUAUUUGAUGUGGAGUCGGAGGAACUCCGUAUGGAGCGCUGUGAGCUCAAACAACUGGAUGCGCCAUUGCAGCUGGAAAUGAAAAGAUUGAGAUUAUUAUAGAUGGAUGUAUGUGAGUUUUUUUCUAGAAGUACUUAAUCCGUCGGGUAUGAAGAAUCUACACAAGGUAAGUCUGCGACAUUGCCUUUCAUUAGUCGAGACUUGUGGCCUUGAAGAAUUGGGAUCCCUUUACUUCCUAUCAGUCGUUUAUUGCCCUUCCGUGGAGAGGAUAUCGGACCUUUCGAAAUUGAAAAUGCCAUGGGAGCUCAAAGUAAGAUAUUGUUGUGAGCUAAAAAUUGUGCAGGGUCUCAACCACUUGGAAUCUUUAAAGAAGCGGGAAAUUUAUGAUAAUGGAGAGUUUGGGGGAUGACACCUGAAACGCUGCCUCCGCCUCCGCCAUCGUAUCCAGGAGUCCCGUCGGCGGCUUCAAUUCGUCAUUCAUGUUCGACGAGCUCAAAUCUACUACAUUCUUGGACGUAUCGCUGCUGCCUCUGUCGUCGCCAUCGCCUCUAGGAGCCCCAUUGACAUUUGGAAUAUGGCAGCACCUAGUUUCACGCCAGAACUCACACUGACGAUUGUAAAAACCCCACAUUUCAAGGGAAGUUUUUGUUCACAAUUGUUGAAGGGCUUAUGGAGUUGAAUCUUGCAGUGCGGAACAGCAAUAUCCUCACUUUACUUUGACGGCAGUGGAAAGCUCCGUAAGGUUUCUCAAAGCUUUGGGAAUACAACUUGGCCUCUUCAGACUAAAAAAUGAGCAGGUAUUCGGAUCGGACAGCUGAGGAUGAUUCCGUCAGGAGCGGGAGCAAUUAGAGUGGGCCAUGGGGGAAGAUGAAGGCCCGGAUCGACGCAUGCCUAGAUGCUAACAGGUGUACCAAUUAAUUGGGAAGAGGUACUUCAAUUUUUUUCCGUCAAAACGACAUGUAUAUUACACGGACAAUUCAAAUUGACUGAUUACACCAUGCCAAUUUUGUGAUCGCCGCAUAAAAUACAUUUUAGUAAUAAAAGGGUAAUUUAGCAUC